UACGGGGGGGGCAAGCGUUGUUCGGAAUUACUGGGCGUAAAGGGCUCGUAGGCGGCCAACUAAGUCAGCCGUGAAAUCCCUCGGCUUAACCGGGGAACUGCGUCUGAUACUGGAUGGCUUGAAUCCGGGAGAGGGAUGCGGAAUUCCAGGUGUAGCGGUGAAAUGCGUAGAUAUCUGGAGGAACACCGGUGGCGAAGGCGGCAUCCUGGACCGGCAUUGACGCUGAGGAGCGAAAGCCAGGGGAGCAAACGGG
rnacentral:rRNA from 1 species